rnacentral:rRNA from 1 species
GACGAACCGUGCGAACGUUGUUCGGAAUCACUGGGCUUAAAGGGCGCGUAGGCGGGCUGCCAAGUCUGGGGUGAAAUCCCACGGCUCAACCGUGGAACUGCCUCGGAUACUGGCGGCCUCGAGGGAGGUAGGGGCGUGCGGAACUGUGGGUGGAGCGGUGAAAUGCGUUGAUAUCCACAGGAACUCCGGUGGCGAAGGCGGCACGCUGGACCUUUUCUGACGUUCAGACAUGACAGCAUGGGGAGCGAACGGG